AGCGGAGUAGAGCAGUCUGGUAGCUCACAAGGCUCAUAACCUUGGGGUCACGGGUUCAAAUCCCGUCUCCGCGU
rnacentral:tRNA from 1 species